AGUGUUCACUGCGAUCCUUGAUUUACACACAACGUGGGCAAUUAAGGCACGCGGUGAAUGCCAA
rnacentral:pre_miRNA from 1 species